rnacentral:lncRNA from 10 species
AUCAUAUCACCCUCACUUUCAUCAUUACCACAAUCACCAUCAAUAUCACCAUCCCCUUCACCAUCACUACCAACACAGCCACCAUCAUCAAUAUCACCCUCAACUUUAUUAUCACCUCCACCAUCAGCAGCAGCAUCAACUUCAUCAUCACCAUCACCACCUCUGCCAUCAGCAGCAUCAUUAUUAUCUUCAUCAUCAUGGUUUCAGCCACAAUCGGAAUCAACAGCCGUCACCCAGAGUUGAAGGAGGUGUCACCCACUCAGAGAACACCCCUGACCUUCCCAAGGAAGCCCUCUGCACUCCGACGCCAUAUACCCGUGAUCUGCACAGGACUGUCACCAUCUGGAAUUGAUUGCCUCUCUUCCCGUUUUGCUAUUGUCAUUUGCACCC